AGCAGCCGCGGUAAUUCCAGCUCCAAUAGCGUAUAUUAAAGUUGUUGCAGUUAAAAAGCUCGUAGUUGAAUUUCGGGAUUAGUACGUUGGUCGUGCCUUGGUACGUACUGGUGUAACUGAUUCCUCCCUUCUGACGAACCGUUAUGCCAUUAAUUUGGUGUGGCGGGAAAUCAGGACUGUUACUUUGAAAAAAUUAGAGUGUUUAAAGCAGGCUUGCGCUUGAAUACAUUAGCAUGGAAUAAUGAAGUAGGACGUUAAUCCUAUUUUGUUAGGUUUCUAGGAUCGACGUAAUGAUUAAUAGGGAUAGUUGGGGGCAUUAGUAUUCAAUUGUCAGAGGUGAAAUUCUUGGAUUUAUUGAAGACUAACUACUGCGAAAGCAUUUGCCAAGGAUGUUUCAUUAUCAAGAACGAAAGUUAGGGAUCGAAGACGAUCAGAUACCGUCGUAGUCUUAACCAUAAACUAU
rnacentral:rRNA from 1 species